rnacentral:lncRNA from 1 species
CGCGGCGCGUCGGUUCGAGUGCGGGAACGGAAAAAAUCUUACCAUCGAGUUUGCUCAAUGCUUUAUACCUGCUCGCGAUAUGGUGUUGCCUCCGUCACAAAGUGCAAUAGCAUCAACUCAUUCAGUUACCAACGGUGCAAUUCCCAAAGUUCCAGAAACGAAUUUUUCAGUAGAGACUUUCAGGAGUGUGGACAAUAGCUCAAGAAUAGAGGUUGUCAAAUGGAUAGUGUGUUGAUCAGUUCAGUCAUAUCAUAAACAUACCGUGCAAUUCAUCCCUUCGUAGAUAAACCGAUCAAGGUGGACACUUAAGUGCUAUUUUGACUUCGAUGUAGUCAGUCUUCACGCUAUGACUGGCCCAGGACAGAUGUAACUCAAGAUUCGAACUCAGUGAAACCAAAAAAAACGUAACCUAAACCUAGGGGUACCGAACCCCAAAAAACCUAAUGAUAUAGACUACUAAAAACAACCCCCUUACAGGCUCCAAACCCUUCCUAUAAUAUUACACUUCCCUUCCUUUUAACUAAUCAGGCCCCAUCACAGCUGUUCAAAACAAAAUUUCCAAAACAAAUUUCCUCACCAUACAUUUCAAAACAACAAAACCAUUUAUAUUGUAUAUUUUUUUUACCCUUGCAAAAUUCAAAAGUUAAGUUUUUAUUGUUACAAAUUUUGUAUUCUAAAAAAUUAUAUUUAAAGAAAUUAUUGUAGGAGAAAAUUUUUGAAAUUAUCAUAUGUUUAGUAUAAUUUUUAUUGAAAUUCGAUGUGCCUAAAAUUUUAGAUACGUUUUAUAUUAUCCUUGAAAAUUUUUAUCAAAAAGAAAUCCUUAUUUGAGUUUUUUAGUUGUUUGGUUAUUUUAUUCUUUAGUUACCUAUUUAUUAAGGCCUAUUAGUCUCUUACAAUCCUCCGCGAAUCGUCCUGCGAUUUCGUCGUUUCGCGAAUCUCCUCCGAGUGCGAAUCUUAUCAUUAGUAACACGGUAACGCCAUCACGCGGUCGCCUUCUUAAUCAAGAAUUGCUGCCACUAUUGCAUCAUCAACACAACCUCUGUAACUCAUUCACUUCUACAAAUAGCUCUUAGCUCUCAUCUAUAAUCAUCAUCAUCGGUAAGUUAUUUAAUGAUAUCAACUUACAUAGAUUCGCUUUAU